rnacentral:lncRNA from 1 species
CCCCAGGAAAAGGAAUUCAGGGGCAUAGGGAAGGGUGGGGGUUGCCUUUUUUUUAAGAUAACCAUGAAAAUAAUUUAAAUUAGAAGAGGUAAAAGCCCCGGGGAAGAUCACUGGCUCACCUGGGGCCCCACCCUUCCAGGAUAAAUUGUAAAAUACCUCCUCUGCCCUGCUCCUCCCCCGACGCCAGACCCGCCCCUUUCUAGCCCCGCCCCUCCCCGGAAGCCACGCCCCUUCUAUGAAGCCCUUCUCACUAGCCCCACCCUCCACGGACAGCCCCGCCCCUUGAGCAAAGCCCCGCCCCCGCCUUACCUUCCUUUAGCGGCAGCACUUUCCCCCAUGGGUGUGGUUGCUCCCACGCCGCGGGCACAGGGGAGCGAAGCAGGUACAGCUGAGCCCUGUUUGCUUUCCUGUGCAUGUCCUCUCCUCCUCUGUGAUUAAGGAGGACGAGAACUUUCUCCGCAGAGCCUGCACCGGGGCCGGGAAGGGUGGUUCACUUUGUGCUGGCAGCCAGUCUUGGUGUGAAAAGAGCCCUCCUCGGUUGAGCCAGCCCAAGUCGUGAAGGAUGCGCUGUGACUUCCUGCCCUUACCAUGCGUUGGGGAGCAGGGGUGUGGGGAGCGGCACCAUCCCGCCAGGAGAUGCAGCUCUGCAGACGGAUGCAGUCCCUGCAGCGGAGGCAGUAAACGGUGCUGGGGCUGCGGCUUGAUAGGGGGCUUCUGGCUUCGCCCCUUCACUCGCCUUCCCUCCUGCCCUUCUCUCCCCACCGCCGGCUCAGCAAGGCUCAUGCGACCAGAACACUCCGCUCUAAAUAAAUAAAUCCUGAAAUAAAUACG